AUGGGAAUGAAAAUAGACUUUUCCAAACACCCUGGAGACCACACCCAGGUUCUGUAUGGUACAUAGAACCCCAUAAUGAGGGAGAGAGUGAGGCUGGCUUUCUUGAGUCUGAUGGGGACUUGGGAGUCUUAUUUUUGGGUUUCUGAGUCCAUCCUAAUACUGAGGAGCCAAGCUGCUGGAUGAUCCCAGAGAUGCCAGAAUCGUCUACCUGGUGGGGCUAACCCCUGUGCUCUGUGUGUUCCCUUGGAGGAUGGUGGCAGCAUCCUCAAAGUAGACUCCUGGGAUAAAUAAAUGGGAAGACAGCGCCCUAAAGCUGAGGGUGUGAGGAGAUUA